UUUAAAGAAAACAGAAACUUAAUCUUCGUGGCCACUCUGAAUCCCGCCCAGCUCCAAGUCCAUCGAUCUAAGGCUCCCCUGCAAAGAUGGGAAAAAGGGGGGGUGAGUUUGGAAAACUCAGUGUGUAAAGUAUCCCAACCAGAGCCCAAAUCAGUUCAAGCUUUACUAGGCCUAAGCCCUAUUCAGAAUUUAGUGUUAACUGGGCCUUAGCCCAUAUCAGUAUUAAUCUGGGCCAUAGCCCUAUUACAUUAUCAGAGCAUACUGGGCCUAGCCCAUAUCAGUAUCAGUCUGGGCCGUAGCCCUAUUACAAGUCGAGAUAUAUUGGGUCUUGCCCAUAUUAACACAGUUGGGCCCAUUUUAAUACAGUUGGCCCUUAAUAAAACAGUCUCAUAUGAUUAAUGCAUGAUAACCCCAUCCAACCCUGCACUUGCCUCCGUCCAUCCCUACACUUCCUGUGGGGAAUAAAUCACCCACGCCAUCCCUACACUUACAGUGUUAGCACCGAUUGCGGUACUAACUAUAAUCCGCAGCAAAGCUGAUUAUAUUAGAAUAUGUGGCACAGCCACCAGAACGGGUUCUUCCUCCAUAACAAAACCCAACCCCAUGCAACAGAUAUACAUGUCAUGGCAUAUAACAAACAGAAUCAGCAUAUUAUGCAUUUCAGUCAAAAUUAACCCUAGGGGUAUAACGG
rnacentral:lncRNA from 1 species